AUCCAUCUGACGAGUCCCAAAUAGGAAGAAGCGGAAGUUCUGGAU
rnacentral:hammerhead_ribozyme from 1 species